GACGAACCGAGCGAACGUUGUUCGGAAUCACUGGGCUUAAAGGGCGCGUAGGCGGGCUGCCGAGUCCGGGGUGAAAGCCCCCCGCUCAACGGGGGAACGGCCUCGGAUACUGGCGGCCUGGAGGCGGGUAGGGGCGUGCGGAACUGUGGGUGGAGCGGUGAAAUGCGUUGAGAUCCACAGGAACUCCGGUGGCGAAGGCGGCACGCUGGACCCGAACUGACGCUGAGGCGCGAAAGCCAGGGGAGCGAGCGGG
rnacentral:rRNA from 1 species